rnacentral:rRNA from 1 species
UGGGGAAUAUUGGACAAUGGGCGAAAGCCUGAUCCAGCCAUGCCGCGUGGAUGAUGAAGGCCUUAGGGUUGUAAAAUCCUUUCACCGGAGAAGAUAAUGACGGUAUCCGGAGAAGAAGCCCCGGCUAACUUCGUGCCAGCAGCCGCGGUAAUACGAAGGGGGCUAGCGUUGCUCGGAAUUACUGGGCGUAAAGCGCACGUAGGCGGGUUAUUAAGUCGGGGGUGAAAGCCCACAGCUCAACUGUGGAACUGCCUUCGAUACUGGUAACCUAGACCAAAGUAGAGGCAGGUGGAAUUCCGAGUGUAGAGGUGGAAUUCGUAGAUAUUCGGAGGAACACCAGUGGCGAAGGCGGCCUGCUGGACUUUUGGUGACGCUGAGGUGCGAAAGCGUGGGGAGCAAA